rfam:Wickerhamomyces ciferrii, NRRL Y-1031 F-60-10, WGS project CAIF01000000 data, contig: 00007
CUCUCGGUCGCCAAGUUGGUUUAAGGCGCAAGACUGUAAUGGAAUCAAGACAUCUUGAGAUCGUGUGUUCGACUCACACCCGGGAGA